UUGUGUCACAUGGAACUAAUGGAC
rnacentral:siRNA from 1 species